AUUGAACGCCGGCGGCAUGCCUUACACAUGCAAGUCGAACGGUAACGGGCCUUCGGGUGCCGACGAGUGGCGAACGGGUGAGUAAUGUAUCGGAACGUACCUUUCAGUGGGGGAUAACGUAGCGAAAGUUACGCUAAUACCGCAUAUUCUGUGAGCAGGAAAGCAGGGGAUCGCAAGACCUUGCGCUGACUGAGCGGCCGAUAUCAGAUUAGCUAGUUGGUGAGGUAAAGGCUCACCAAGGCGACGAUCUGUAGCGGGUCUGAGAGGAUGAUCCGCCACACUGGAACUGAGACACGGUCCAGACUCCUACGGGAGGCAGCAGUGGGGAAUUUUGGACAAUGGGGGCAACCCUGAUCCAGCCAUGCCGCGUGAGUGAAGAAGGCCUUCGGGUUGUAAAGCUCUUUCGGCCGGGAAGAAAUCGUAUCAGCUAAUACCUGGUGCGGAUGACGGUACCGGCAUAAGAAGCACCGGCUAACUACGUGCCAGCCGCCGCAGUAAAAC
rnacentral:rRNA from 1 species